rnacentral:rRNA from 1 species
CAGUCGCCGCGGUAAUACAGAGGGUGCGAGCGUUAAUCGGAUUUACUGGGCGUAAAGCGUGCGUAGGCGGCUAAUUGAGUCGGAUGUGAAAUCCCCGAGCUUAACUUGGGAAUUGCAUUCGAUACUGGUUAGCUAGAGUGUGGGAGAGGAUGGUAGAAUUCCAGGUGUAGCGGUGAAAUGCGUAGAGAUCUGGAGGAAUACCGAUGGCGAAGGCAGCCAUCUGGCCUAACACUGACGCUGAGGUACGAAAGCAUGGGGAGCAAACAGGAUUAGAUACCCGUGUAGUCCCUGUCUCUUAUAA